GACGAACGCUGGCGGCGUGCUUAACACAUGCAAGUCGAACGGAAAGGCCCUGCUUUUGUGGGGUGCUCGAGUGGCGAACGGGUGAGUAACACGUGAGUAACCUGCCCUUGACUUUGGGAUAACUUCAGGAAACUGGGGCUAAUACCGGAUAGGAGCUCCUGCUGCAUGGUGGGGGUUGGAAAGUUUCGGCGGUUGGGGAUGGACUCGCGGCUUAUCAGCUUGUUGGUGGGGUAGUGGCUUACCAAGGCUUUGACGGGUAGCCGGCCUGAGAGGGUGACCGGCCACAUUGGGACUGAGAAACGGCCCAGACUCCUACGGGAGGCAGCAGUGGGGAAUAUUGCACAAUGGGCGGAAGCCUGAUGCAGCAACGCCGCGUGCGGGAUGACGGCCUUCGGGUUGUAAACCGCUUUCGCCUGUGACGAAGCGUGAGGGACGGGAAUGGGGAAAGAAGCACCGGCUAACUACGU
rnacentral:rRNA from 1 species